GAGAGGUUGGUUAUCCAUAGACACGACCACACUCCCCCAAAAUAUCUCUCUCUCUACCAACAGACAAACAUAAAUCUUUCAGAAUUAGUAACGACGACUCACCCUUUGACGUGAUUUCGGAUCGUUAUUUCCGGCGAAUAGAGAUAUGGGUGGCAAAUCAUCGGCGAUGGCAACACAAAUGAUCCGGAUCUGGAAAGAGAGAGAGGGGCCGGUAGGGUGGGUUUCUCCGAUUACGUCUUGAAUCUUUGUUCUUUGUCGGAGUAAAACUGAGAUUCAAUGAAUCACUUUUCUGAUAUUUCUGUGUAGAUGUUCAAAAUAGCUGAUUGGUUGGCGGCCUUUGGAGUUUCGGUUUCAAAGUGAUUAAUUGAGUUUCUAAAUGUAACGGUGGGGGUUAUAUACGGUGUGAAAUGGUGGCAGACGACGGGGGAAGGGCUGUUGAAGGAGACGCAGCGGUUUGGUUAUAACUGUGAAGUCAUCACGGUAAAUGACGGUUAAAGAUGGAAUAGUUAAACGUGGUGGUUGUCGGGAAUUGUUAAUGGGGGGAAAGAAACGGUGGGAACGGUUAAAGUAACUGUGGCGGGACAACAAUUGGUGUCAUUAUGGUUGACAGAAAACGGUGACCCGGUGAAAUGUGGCGGUUUUAAACGUUGAUUACUUCACACGGUGCGUCCCCGUAUUCAUAUUCAUAACGCGUCGGUUUUUUUUUCUUUUUUUCAAACGGUGCGUCGGUAUGGAUUUGUUCUAUUGUUUCCAUUGAUUCCAUAACGUUGUAACCGCUGCUGUAAAGUUCCGACGGGUGUUCUUGUUUUUUAUUGGUUCCAUAACCGUGUGACUAUAACGGUGUGACCACCGCUACAAAUUUCCGACGAUGUGUUCUUUUGUUCUCAAACGUCACUUUUAGAAUGUGGUGCUUUAAUCGUUACAGCCUUUCAUUUUAGAAUGCAGUCUUUAUUUGCCAAUUAUAUAUUCUUAAAUAAUUUUCCAACGGAUGCGAUUUUCUAAGAGACGCGACUAUUAAACAAAAGAGGUAACCCAAGUUACUUUUUGUAUGAUUAUAUAAUUUUUUCCCUAAAUAGGAAAUUUUCACGGUGAGCGAAAAAUUCUCAUAUUGAAUUCGAAUAAAAUCUAUAUUCUAUUACUUAUAUUAAAACAAAACAAUUUUGGCCAUUUGGCAUUCAUUUAGACCACUAAUUGACACCUGGCAUCUUCUCACGCAAUACCAAUUUGAUUUACGCGCUCAACUUUUUCUGCUUUUACACCUGCUUCUUUCCCUUUUUCUUUCAUUAGCCACAUUCACAAACCCUAAUUCUCUCCCCUUUUCUUUCAUACGCCAUUUUCAAUAACAAGUUGGUCACCUGUUCUUCCCAGCAGUUCAGGUAAAGCUUCUACUUGCAAUUCACGAUUAAAGCCUAAAUUGAUGUUUCUCAUGUCCACUUAAACCAGUGUUCCUCUUCAUCGGGUGAAAAGCAUAAAGCUUCAGGUAUUAUUUACACACAUCAAACCCUAACCCUCAACCACCAUUUGCGGCAGAUCCGGCUCGGUGCAGAUCCGGCGCCGUUUGAAGUGUUGAUCACACUUUUGCUUCUUAUUUCACCUUUAUUAUUCGUUUUGAACUCAUAGUCGCUGUCAUAGUCGCUGUCCGUUCAAGUUUCCAACUCAGCGAUUCCGACUCAGCGAAAACAUGUCCGGAAAGGUGGUCUUUGUCACCGGCGCUUCAUCUGGACUCCGUUUAACUUUCCGAUACAGCGAAUGCUUAUUUCCAUUUGAGGGGAAUAUUCCACUGACUUACGUAUUUGUUUGAAGUGGACCCCUACCGGUAAGCGUCUUAUAACUGGUUCACACAGUGGAUAAUUCACAUAAUGGAACGGACAAUCUUUCAAUUUUGAAAUGUUUCGGCAGAUGCUCAUGAUAAGCCAAUCAGAUCUAUGGUAUGGAGUUACAGUGACAAUUGGAUGGUCGCCGGUGAUGAUGGAGGCUGUAUAAAAAAAUGAAACCGGUCAAGCAGGUUGAAACGUCCAAAGUAAUAUUUGAACAUUUCCAAACUUUGAAGAUGAUUUAUUCAACUAACUUAGAUGGCAUAUAUCAACGCUCUUCUCUGCUUUCUGGUAACGUGAUCUGUUUUUCGUAAUUUCAUUCAAUACUUAGUUUUGAAGUGGAUGUGCUUUUGUAUGUUAUGAUUUUGAUGUUGACAGAGUUGUUUGAGAAAGAGCAGGAAGAUCUACCAAGUGAGUUAAAGGACAUACCUAAAAAGGCUUGUGAUCGAAGAGUGAGUUUCGAAUUUCUUGAACUUAUAAAGCUGCAAUUUUGUUACAUUUUUCUCAUUUCCAUUAAGGUCCCAUCUCUUUUCCUUUAAUAAUGAAGAUGCGCCCCACAAUGUGAAUGUAGGGCUACACAAUAACACAAAGCGACACUUCAAGGUAACGAUUUUUAAUGGCUAAGCAUAGUCCACUUUCACUUAGACCUCUACUUUUUCGACAAGACAUCAGUGUGGCUUUGUUAAGAUGCGUGAUGAAAUGUUGUCCAUUUCUGAUAAAUAUAUUAAGUCCAAAUGAAAUACAUACAACAACGGGUCCAUAGCUCAGUGGUAGAGCAAUUGACUGCAGAUCAAUAGGUCACCGGUUCGAACUCGGUUGGGCCCUUAAUUUUUUAUUUUAUUUUUUCUUGAGCUUAAACCCUUUUUGUUUGACGUUAGAGUAGACGGUAUGGGGGUCGUCCUCUACCUGUUGUCCUCCGGCGCCGCACCACCUCCCCACCCCCUCAGGCCCGUCACCGUCUUCAACGGCUUCCUGCAGCCGGUGUCGACCUAAUGUCAAGGUUAUGGUUUUUUUUCGAAGUUUUAAAUAGGUUGAGUGACUUUUUCAUGCAAAAUAAAAAAUUAUGUUGGUUUUCUUAUCGAAGUUUUAAAUUGAAUCUCUUGAUAGUCUUAUAAUUUAAUGUGAAUGACACAAGGAAAAGCUCUUAAUGUUGUUGCUUCACCUAAUGUCAAGGUUAUGGUGGUUGGAAAUCCCUCCAAUACCAAGUAUGGAAAACUAGCUUCUAUAACUUUUGACUUUUGUAAAAGUCAAAGUAUAUUUCCUUUUUGGUUUUUAAUUAUCAUCGGAAUUUGUCAAAUUCAUUUGGAUGAUCGUGUAUUUAUUUAAGUAGAUGUUCAAAUGUGCACAAACAUACUGUUUCUAAAUUGUUUAAAACUCUACCUAAGGUGCCCUCAACUUUCACCCAAAUCCUUUUAUUUCCUUUGAUUGUGAUGGAUGUCUUUCAAAGAAGACAAAGCUAUUGGUCUGGUUGUCUAUUGCAACUUGAUUAAGGCGAGUUGGAUGCACCUCAUUGACCAUUAUGCUUCUGGUAACUAUGACGUAUGCUUAUGAGCCUUUGACUCUUUGAGUCAUUAUAUAUGUUUCUCUUUUUCUUUUUUUUUUCGAUAAAGCAUUCAUACGUAUAAACAUUUAAUAUCUUUUUGAUCAUUUUUGUUCAUCAGCCAACAUGUGACAUGAUUUCCGUCCAGAUUAUAGAGUAUCGUGGUGUCAUAAGCAGAAUUUUCAAAUGUUUCGGUAAUGGCGUUGAUGGCUACUGCGACAGAGUCAGUUCGUAAGGGGAAGUGGAUUUAGGAUAUGGUACCAUUUGAACCCAUUGAAAAUUUGAAAUAGCAACAACCACCAGCAGCAUUGAAAUGUACAAUUUAAAAGGAAGGAUCAAGAGUACUUUUUCUCACUUUUUCUCCAUUGAUAAAGAAAUAUAUAUUAAAUAAUCAUCACCAAGUAACGAUUGAAAUAUUUAGGAUGACAGAGAUUUGCUUUUUGGACAGUUUCGACUAUUGCCAAAAGGUGGGCUUGGGGGCACAAUGGUUUUGUAGUACAAAUGAGUUCAGAAGCUACAAUGUGUUGAUUGCUGCUAUUGAUGCAGUCUGAGUGACAGGAGAUUCUGUUGGAUGUAUUGUUACGUGUAUUGAGAUAAACCUCCCACGUGGGCUUGGUUCACCAGCUUUUUACAAACUUGAAGCUGAGUUGGAUGAAGAUCAUCCAAGAGUGAAGAAGAUCAUCCAAGAGUUCGAUCAUGUGGUCCCGAAUUGUGUCUUUUAACGGAUCACCUGGGUACCGAGUAAAGUCGGCAUUGUUGCGUGGCGUGCCGAAGGAGACAGGUUGCCAACUAUAGUUGCUCUUGCGAAAAGAGGUAUUCCAGUUUUGAGGACUUGAAUGUGUUCUAUGUGCGGAAUUCAAGGAAACGUGUGAGCAUAUUUUUGUGUCGUGCCAGUUCUCACAUGUGGUAUGGCAACUUAUUGGUCAAUGGUGCAAAACUAAUUCACUGUAUGUUUUCAGUUUUGACCUGCACAAAUUGGUCCUAUUAGGUAAAAGGAGGCAAAACUCUUUUCAUGUUAUUUCCUUAGUUACGAUUUAGAGCAUAUAGAGGCAUAGAAAUUAAUUGGCCUUUUGACAAAAGGCGGUGUUCGUUUCAAAUGUAAUUGAUGAGAUUAAUUUUAUGAGUUUUCUUUGGGUCAGGAAUCGUGCAAAAGAGUGUGAUUACGUGGGAGAGGUGGAAGUCAUUUGAUGUGUUUUGGUUACUUCUAUUUAUUUAUUUAUUUUUUUGCA